AACGCGAAGAACCUUACCAGGGCUUGACAUGUAAAGGAAGAUUUAAGAGAUUAAGUUGUUCUCUUCGGAGACCAUUACACAAGUGGUGCAUGGUUGUCGUCAGCUCGUGUCGUGAGAUGUUGGGUUAAGUCCCGCAACGAGCGCAACCCUUAUUGUUAGUUGCUACCAUUUAGUUGAGCACUCUAGCGAGACUGCCCGGGUUAACCGGGAGGAAGGUGGGGAUGACGUCAAAUCAUCAUGCCCCUUAUGUCUAGGGCUACACACGUGCUACAAUGGCAAGUACAAAGAGAAGCAAGACCGCGAGGUGGAGCAAAACUCAAAAAUUUGUCUCAGUUCGGAUUGUAGGCUGAAACUCGCCUACAUGAAGCUGGAGUUGCUAGUAAUCGCGAAUCAGCAUGUCGCGGUGAAUACGUUCCCGGGCCUUGUACACACCG
rnacentral:rRNA from 1 species